CCUACGGGUGGCAGCAGUGAGGAAUAUUGGUCAAUGGACGGGAGCCUGAACCAGCCAAGUCGCGUGCAGGAAGACGGUCCUAUGAGUUGUAAACCUCUUUUGUCAGGGGGCAAACAUGACUACGUGUAUUCCGCCGAAAGUACCGGACGAAAAAGGAUCGGCUAACUCCGUGCCAGCAGCCGCGGUAAUACGGAGGAUGCGAGCGUUAUCCGGAUUUAUUGGGUUUAAAGGGUGCGUAGGCGGAAUGGGAAGUUCGGGGGGAAAUGUGCGAGCUUAAACCGGGAACUGCCGCUGAAACUGUUGAUCUAGAGAGUGCGUGCAGUAGGCGGAAUGCGUGGUGUAGCGGUGAAAUGCAUAGAUAUCAUACAGAACACCGAUUGCGAAGGCAGCAUACC
rnacentral:rRNA from 1 species